AUUCCUCAACGGCCGCGGUAUCACUAACCGUGCAAAGGUAGCAUAAUCACUUGUCCCCUAAAUAGAGACUAGAAUGAAUGGCCAAAUGAGGGCCCAACUGUCUUUUACGGUCAAUCAAUGAACCUGAUCUUUUAGUACAAAAGCUGAAAUAAACCCAUAAGACAAAAAGACCCUGUGGAGCUUCAAAUAGGGCCCAUAAAAACAAUAAUCCUAUUUUAAGUUGGGGCGACUACGGAAUAAAACCAAACUUCCACGCAUAGGACCAUUUAUCCCAAAAAGAUUAACACAUCAAAAUGAUAUCAUUUUUGACCCAGACUAAAGCUGAGUAACGAACCAAGUUACCCCAGGGAUAACAGCGCUAUCCUCUUCAAGAGCCCCUAUCACCAAGAGGGUUUACGACCUCGAUGUUGGAUCAGGGCCCCCAAGUGGUGCAGCCGCUACUUAAGGUUCGUUUGUUCAACGAUUAAUGCCCUACGUGAUCUGAGUUCAGACCGGA
rnacentral:rRNA from 1 species